GGGAAGGUAGCACAGCGGUAGAGUGCAUGCCUUGCAAGUAUGUGGCCCUGGGUUCGAUUCCUCAGCACCA
rnacentral:tRNA from 1 species